rnacentral:lncRNA from 1 species
UGAUGGUGGACAAGCUCGAUGGCGACGCCUUCGUGGCGGAGCUGUGCGGCGGAUUCCGGCUGCUGGCGGAUCCGAGCAAGGGGCUGAUCACGGCGGCGAGCUUGCAGAAGAAUUGCGCGCUUCUAGGGUUGGAAGGGAUGAGCAGAGACGACGCGGAGGCGAUGGUGCAGGAAGGCGAUCUCGACGGCGACGGAGCUCUCAAUCAAACGGAAUUUUGCAUUCUGAUGGUCAGACUCAGCCCUGGGAUGAUGGAGGAUGCUCAGACCUGGCUUGAUAAGGCCAUUCAAGGAGAGUUGCACAAAUCCUCUUCUUGAAUCUUCCUUUUUGUAUUUAAUUUACAAACCUAUUUUGUAUGUAUGCAUUUGUACUAAUUAUUCAUGAAAUCACUUGAUCAUUCAGCUGCUGCUUUGAUUAUCUUGUAUAGUUUUUUUAUCAAGCUUACAAUUGAGCUAUAUAAACUUCCUUCGCCUCUAGAAAACAUGCGACCGUGUGAGUGACAUAUAUUUUAAGAAAUAUUAGACGAGUCUAUUCCAAGUGAAGACGGAGUAGUUCUACUUUAUAUAAUGUUAGGAUGAUAUUAUCACAAACUAUAGGUUUGAUAAUAUUUUCUCAUAUACUCCCUCUGUCUCAGCUGAAUGUCCUGCUUUUCUUUUGGGUUGUCCCACUUGAAAUGUCCUGUUUCCUUUUUGACAAUAUACUCUCUCUCUAAAAAUUUUAUCACCAAAAAUUUAUAACAUCAAUUUAACUCAUUUUUUUUUUUAUAUUUUCUCCUUUUUUUUCAUUUCUAUAUUUUCUUUUCUAUCUAUUUUUCUAUCUUUUUUCUUUCAUAAUAUUUUCAUAUUAUAUAUUUUUUGAUAAAUUAAAAAUAUUAAAUAAAGAAAUUUAAAGGUCGGGCCACUUAAACCCAAGACCUUUGACCUUAGGCAUUAACCCCUUACCGCUUGACCAACACAGGCACAUUCAUACUAUAUUUUUUUCGUUAAAGAAAACAUGAGAUAAUAAGAGUACGUGGAGAUCACGAAAAUGUGAUAAAAAUUUUCCAUUUUUUCUUUUUCCUCUUUUUUUGAAGAUAAACUUACAACCAAAUAAAAUACGCCCUAACAAAAAAUAAUGGAGAAUGCUUUUUUUUUUNAAUAAAUAUAAAAAGUAGGAAUAAAAACAAAGGAAUUAUGGUAGAAUAACAUUCAAAAUUAAAAAAGUAGUACAUGUUUUUUCAAGAUAAUUCAAAAUGACAAAAUAUACAUAUUCUUCAAAGACAAAGAGAAUAUGCGUUUAUCUCUACCAUUCAAUUUAUAGUUAAAAAAGUAUUCAUGGUAUAGGCAUAUUAUUAGUUUUGAUACUUUUUUAUGCUUCGUUCUUAAAGUCAAAUCAGCUUAACUUGCUCAAAUUUUUUUAUGCUUCUUUCUUAAAGUCAAAUCAGCUUAUCAAUAGAAAUAAAUAUUGUUUCGAAAAUAAAACGAUAGAAAUAAAUAUAAACUAUAUUAAUAUUUUAAAAUUCAAACUAAAAAUCACCAUGAAAAAUGAUAUUUUGAGGUAUAAUUUAAAAAUAACCCUCAUCUUAUCUUUAUCUAUCCAAACUGCGAACAAGAGUGAAUUCCAAGAAAAACAAGUGUUACUGCACAAUCACAAUAAAGUAGCACGACAAAAAAAACGAAGCUCCAUAUAUGAAACCAAGCAAAUACAGAAGCACAUAAAUAAGUCAUCCAUUCAAUUCAAGAUACAAAAGCACUAGGGCCUGUUUGAUAUGGGUUUAAAAACAAGAUAAGUUAAAUUAAUAUGGAUUUAUGUAGUGUUNAAAACAUGGAAUAUCGUAUACUUCGUGUAUUUGCAUGUACCUAAUUAUAUUCUUUAUUUGAAUUUCAGUUAAAUUUAAGAUUUAUCAUUUAUUUAAGUUAUUUAACCAUACAAUUCGGCAUGACAUAAGAAUUGCGAAGUUAUGCAAUUCAAUAAACUAUGCCGGCUCAUGAAAGUCAUUACGAUGAAUUCAUGACCGAUAAUGACCUUAAUUAAUGAAUAUCAAUUAAGACUACUAUCCAAUUUAGCCCCAUUCAAAAAACCAUAAAAAUAAAUAUCAGGCACAACAUUUAAAUAUUCACAAUCCUAAUGAAGUGCACAAAGAGUAUUUUGAUUUAAUAAAUAUCGAUAGAGCUCGACUAGAUCGAUGGGCUAACCCGAAAUCCAAAAAUCUAGGGUUAAAUUUGGGAAUAUGUUAAAUCCAAAACUUUUAUAAUCUGAAUAGCCCGUAUUCAAUAGAACUAACUCGAAAAUUCGUCUAUUGAAGUAACCCGAAUAGGAUAUGAUGAGAAUGCUAUUGAUAAUUGUAUUAGAUAAUAGCUUGACUUCUCAAUAUCAUUCAAUAAUUUAUGUUUUAUAACUUGGAUUUAUUUAUCUUGUUCUGUUGUGAAAUACAGUUACCUUUACAUAAUGCAUUUUGAAUGAAAUUCUUUGUAGCUUUGUGGCAGUGGAAUCUUGGCUGCAACCAAGUCAAAAUUCCUUUAAAGAGUAAGAAAAAAAAGGAUAAAAUAUUUUGAUCGGACUUUCUGAGGGCGGAAAUGAAUAAAGAAGUAUUUUUUUCAAGCAAUUCCAGAAGUCGGUGAUUACUGUAAGAAAUACAAGCAAAUUGUUUGAAAAUCAAUAAUAAAUCCAAAGAUAGAAAAGCAAGUUGAUUAAUUUAAUAUUCAGCGUGAUCGCAGUAGGUAGUAGGACUUGUAAAUUCAUUCACCAAACAUGCACUUUGAUUAUUACAAAUACAUAUAGUAAAACAUAAGAUUCGGACCAAUCACAUCCAGUAGUCUUAGUAAAUCGAACAAUACUCUGACUCGCACGUCGGUCAUAUGUGACUGUGUGUAAAAAUAAUUAAUGAGGUAAAAACAUAGGACAAAUAAUAGCCCAUAUUAUAUGGUCCCAAAAUAUUGAGAGAGGAAGCUUCUUGGAAGGUACAGAAACAAUAGAACAAAUAAGCAAUUCCUCAUGAGUCACAAGUCAUGAUAUACAGCAACCCCACUCCACCUCGAAUAGCACCUUCCUCGAAAAAUCCCUCAUUUUGGAACCAAAUGCCAAUUGGAACUAUACCCAAAUAUUUCAAUAAAUUUAAUACGCACUCCAAAAUUGUAGCAUAAAGUCCGUGUGAAGACUUGACAACUCGAGGCAGCCAUCAAAACAUUUACUAUUAAUAAAAUAAAAAUAAUCAAAAAAAUCCAGCCGUUCAUUCUUAGUCGAAAUUAUUUAAUCAUCGGUGAGUGCCUACCAUAUCACCAACACCUUACAUUACAAUUUACAAGACUAGUACUACUCUUUAUAAAGGGUCACCACAAAUAUAAAAUAAAAUUAGUAUUGAUGGCUGCUUCGAAUCCUAUGAAAAUGGAACAAAAUUCCGAGUACGAAGACUUGUUGCCGGUGAUGGUGGACAAGCUCGAUGGCGACGCCUUCGUGGCGGAGCUGUGCGGCGGAUUCCGGCUGCUGGCGGAUCCGAGCAAGGGGCUGAUCACGGCGGCGAGCUUGCAAGAAGAAUUGCGCGCGUUCGUAGGGUUGGAAGGGAGUGAGCAGAGACGACGCGGAGGCGAGUGGUGCAGGAAGGCGAUCUCGACGGCGACGGAGCUCUCAAUCAAACGGAAUUUUGCAUUCUGAUGGUCAGACUCAGCCCUGGGAUGAUGGAGGAUGCUCAGACCUGGCUUGAUAAGGCCAUUCAAGGAGAGUUGCACAAAUCCUCUUCUUGAAUCUUCCUUUUUGUAUUUAAUUUACAAACCUAUUUUGUAUGUAUGCAUUUGUACUAAUUAUUCAUGAAAUCACUUGAUCAUUCAGCUGCUGCUUUGAUUAUCUUGUAUAGUUUUUUUAUCAAGCUUACAAUUGAGCUAUAUAAACUUCCUUCGCCUCUAGAAAACAUGCGACCGUGUGAGUGACAUAUAUUUUAAGAAAUAUUAGACGAGUCUAUUCCAAGUGAAGACGGAGUAGUUCUACUUUAUAUAAUGUUAGGAUGAUAUUAUCACAAUAUUUUCUCAUAUAUUAUUUUAUGAUCUUUCAAUUUUAUCACCAAAAUUUAUAAAAUUUAACUCAUUUUUUUUUUUUAUAUUUCU